rnacentral:rRNA from 1 species
AACGAACGCUGGCGGCGUGGAUAAGACAUGCAAGUCGAACGGGGCAAUCUUGUAGCAAUACCGGGUUGUUCAGUGGCGAACGGGUGCGUAACACGUGGAUUACAUACCGGAAAGCGAGGAAUAGCCCAGGGAAACUUGGAUUAAUACCUCAUGUGGUCGCAAGACUAAAGGCGGGGCAACCUGUCGCUUUCUGAUUGGUCCGCGGCCUAUCAGCUAGUUGGCGGGGUAACGGCCCACCAAGGCGACGACGGGUAGCUGGUCUGAGAGGAUGACCAGCCACACUGGAACUGAGACACGGUCCAGACACCUACGGGUGGCAGCAGUCGAGAAUCAUUCACAAUGGGGGCAACCCUGAUGGUGCGACGCCGCGUGGAGGAUAAGGUCUUCGGAUUGUAAACUCCUGUCAUGCGAGAGCAAGAUUUGAGCGGGUAACUCCGCUGGAUUUGAUAGUAUCGCAAGAGGAAGAGACGGCUAACUCUGUGCCAGCCGCCGCAGUAAAAC